GGCCAGCCUCGAUCUCGUCCCGUCGCUUCUAUAUAAAUCCUCCGAGCAGCGAAGCUCGUUCUUUUCUUCCUUGCGGAGCGGAGGUAGCGGAAUAAAGACAAACUUAUUCUAGAAACUAUGCGGAGAAAGCUUACAGUGAUCUGCUGGCUGCUGCGCAGAAAUGCUCAGGUCCAGACCUUCAUGAGAACAUCAACAAAUUUAGAAGAAUAUUUGUGUUAUUGUAGGUGGUCCUAAAUACAAAAAAUUGAGAACCCUGUUACAUUAUUCUGUAUUGUAAAUCCGGUAGCAUAAGGAUGGGUAGCUGAACUGUGAAUGAGCCCCAGGUGCUGCCUGAGGGAGAUGGGGGCACUGCAGCAUAGCUGGAGGGGCCCUUAUCCUCCCAUCCACUGUUCCCUCUGCAUGAAGCACUUGUAAUGCAAGAGCCUGUCAGUUAAGUGGAGGAUCUUGGGAGGAAUGCAGUUUUGUCCAGCAGCUGGAUUCUUCUGUUUGCAGUUUUCUGCCACUGAAACCAGAGGUGUUUUUGCCUGCUUAACAUGGGCAUCUGCAGCAAAAAAGGUGGUAUUUCUCCUCAGUAGCAGCAUCCUUUAGCUGUUACACUUGCAUGCUCCCACUGCUAGAGCCUCCAGGGCCAGAGUCUCUGGCCAGUUAAGCCUCUACUGUAAAUCUAAAAUGGUCAAGAGUUUGGAGGACUUGGGGGAGAGGUGUGUUGUAUGGUUUAAGGCCAGUGCUUUGGGAGGUGGUAACAAAAUGUUUUGAAUAUUCAUACUAGACUAUAAAAUAGUACAAGCUGUCUGUCAUUUAGCAAGAUAAACUAACUUAAUAAAAGGCCUUAAGGAUGAGAUCAGACUUCAUGCAGCAAAAAACUGUUUUUGGGAUUUUAAACGAAGAGAAUAGGCAGACAGUUGCUCAUGUUUUAUUAAAAUAUACUUGCUAAUCAUGUUCCUCAGGCCCCUGACAUGUUACCUAUGUGACCCUAAGAGUGAAAAAUUGGGACCGACUUGGGUUUCUCUGGGUUUUAAUAGGUGUGUAAGCUAUUUCACCCCUUACCCCACCCCUUCCAGAAAACAUCAGAGGUGGACUGUAAGUAAUGGUUGUGUAUCAACACUGUUAGCUUAUAUAAAAUACCUAUAAAAGUAAUAGCCUAGAUAAAUGAAAUUGGGUCACUUCUAAAAUUAAGAAUAUGCAAUAUUGGUAGCAGAUUUUAAGUGGUUGCCUUAUUUCUAGUGUGACUUAGGAGCAUCCAGCAUAUAAUGAGAGUGAACACCAACAACACUGGGAGAAAUACCAGCCACUCCAGUACAACUUAACUUUAAAAUGGUGGAUAAUUUGACGGUUACAGUAUGCUCAUCUCCCAAGAACAAAUGGCACUGUUCAGAAAUGUUCAAUGGCUCAUUGAACUGAAGUGAAAUAGCCAAAAAAGUAGAGGGGAAGAAGCUUUUAUUCAGAUAUGGUCUCUAGCUGUCAUUCUUUUAAGUAAGAAGUAUAGACAGCUUCCUCAUAUGCUUACAACAAAUUUACUUGUUGCUCAGUGAUGAGUUGGAACAUUUGUAUCAACAUCAUCUGACAAAUGUGGAUGAUGUGACUGGAAAGAAAUGUAACACCUGAAGAGAAAUCUUUCUGUUACUUGAACAUGGAGAUCAAGGUUAAAAAAAGCAAACAAAAAGCCCAUAACUAAGUUUCUGCUUCCAAAAUAGCUAUUGGAAAUGUUUUACUUUUUUUGAAGCAUCCUGUGCAUUGGAACCUAUCAUUCUCUGUCGCUUCAAAAUGAACAACCUUGUGGAACGCUAACUUCUAAUGAAAAUUUGUCCUAUAAACUACAUGUGAAAUCAAAAAAAUAAAAUCUGUUUUUCUAUAUCA